ensembl:snRNA U6 U6 spliceosomal RNA
GUGCUCCCUUUGGCAGCACAUAUACUAAAAUUGGAAUGAUACAGCGAAGAUUAGCAUGGCCCCUGUAAGAAAAAAAAUAGAAAAGAGUAGAAUUUGAAAAUAUCAUU